CUGAUUCAUCCAAUGCGAAAUAAUUUUCCAAACUAUGGAUUAAAAGCAAAAGUAACAGCAAACAUAUGGCAUUUUGUGGAGGAAAAUAAAUAAUCCAUCGUAUUGUAAACACCAUGCCAGCUAAUUCCAUGGACACGGAGCCGUGGAACUGAGUCAGAGAAGGAGUCCCGGGAGGACUGUUUUUGACGAUGCACAGGUGGGCCUAUCAAUCCUCAGCCUGUUUACAUGGCUGCCAGAUGUUCGACACCAUGACCACGAGAAAGCCUGCGAGGAGUUUGCAGAUGCCACAACUCCACUUAACAAAUGCGAGUCAUGCUCCCGCGGGCCAAUUUACACUGGUUAGUUGUGACACCCCCUCAAGGCUAACACUAAUUUCACUAACGAUUUUGGCGGUGGAAGCGAUGCUAGCUGUGACCUUGCAGCAGUGUAAUGAUAUUGUCGGUGACUACACAAGGCAGCAGGGCAGGUGGGGUCUGACAGAGAUGGCUGAAGAGACACCAGAACAGAGGGACACAGCAGCACAAAGUUGCCAACAGUACAAGCUACCACCACCCAGCCCAGAGUCCAGAACGACAGAGCAUAAUGCAGUGCAGGCCACUGCAUGCUGUGACAUGGGCCUGGAUGGUGACAUCUUCUUCAAGCAACAUGACUAAAUACUGAGGCCUGCAGUGGUACCGGAAGCAAGGGCCUUACCUGGGAGUACAGCAACAGUCUUUCUCUCUCUGUCUUGCCAUUCUGUCAACGUGUAUUGUAUGUAACCACUUAAAUUCAUACGAACUGCUACACAAGCAAUCACUGACUUAUAUUCACUUUGUCUACUUGUCCCAUUCUUUAAUUUUGUCUGGUAUAUGUGUUUUAGUUGACACACCUGUGUGAUGUGUAUGAUAUACAUGAAUACUAAUGUAUUCACUCUGGACAUGAGACUUGCAUUUAUUUUAGACCUUUUGAAUCAUAAGCUCUAAGUGUAUUUGUCUGGAUGUUUAAGUUACCACUGAAGUUGGUAAAAAUGUAAAGAUCAAUGUAAAAAAUAUUCUAUGAAAAAGUUAUUGUUUUGUAAUCUUACAAUUGAAAAAUGAAAAAGAGCUGUUUAUACAAAA
rnacentral:lncRNA from 1 species